GCCAGGCAUUUUGGUAGGUGCCUGUAAUCCCAGCUUCUUGGGAGGCUGAGGCAGAAGAAUCGCUUGAACCCAGGAUGCAGAGGUUGCAGUGAGUGAUCGCACCACUGCACCACAGCCUGGGUGACAGAGCGAGACUCUGUCUCAA
rfam:Pan troglodytes isolate Yerkes chimp pedigree #C0471 (Clint) chromosome 19, whole genome shotgun sequence.